UUUGAUGAUUUCUGGAAAUAAUUUAGGAUUUUGAAAUAAAUAAAACAACCUAAUCUCUUUUAGAAUGUUUUUAACAAGUUCUUACUAGUUUUUCUGAUGUGGCAACAAGAACAUUAAAGUUUGAACAAGAAAAUUCAAACAUUGCAACCGACUAUGGAAUAACACAGUAAAUUUGUAUAAUUAAGCGGCAUCUAAACAUGAUAGGUUUUACUAAAUUUUCUCCUGUGCAGUUAUUACUUGCACUAAAGACACGGAUGACCAUUUGUUCGAAA
rnacentral:lncRNA from 1 species